UUAGUGUUUAGGCUGUUUGUUGUGCCUUAGGACUGAAAGAUUUAGAAUUUUCUCAAGAAAAACUAAGAGUUCUAUUUGAGCAGAGAAGCUAGGAGUUUCCUAGCUCUGGUUUGGGGUUCUACAUCUCACUAGCUACAAUUUUCAGAAGAUCUUGGAGGCAUAAAAAUACUUAACCCUUAGAAGUUUCCAUCACUGUAUGUAUAUACUCAGAAAUUUGAAUGCUAAAGUAAGAUGAUCUGACCGACUGAUUCCCCUAGUAGCCAAAAUAUAAUUGCUUAAAGAUUACAGUUUGGUUGAAUUUCUGUAGUAGACUGAUGAGCAAAAUAUAAGCCUUCUUUUGGUAUGUGAAUUGAAUGGGCUCUCAAGGUCAAAGGGGCAGAGCUCAAUUCCAAUUUUGUGCAUAAGAAGGUUCCUGUCCUCCUCCACCAUGACAAACCCAUUGUUGAAUCAUUUGCAAUCCUAGAAAAUAUGGAUGAUGAGUUAUGGAAAAAGAACUACCCAUUGUUGGCUCAAGACCCAUGUGACAGAGCCUUGGCUUGCUUCUGGAUACAUCAAAAUAUAUAUAGAUCAAGUCUUGCUGAUGAUUGUAAUUGUAAAGCCUCUAAUUUGCUUAAAUUUAGUGUUUGAUCAUUGGAGUAGACAGAGCUUGCACCCAAUGCAAAGCAAUGAGUUGGAUGCUCACUCUUCAGGUUCUAGUUCAUUGGUCUUUUUUAUUGCUUGUGACCUAUUCAAAAUGAAGACAGCUAAGUGAAUUGUCAUUUUUACUUUCUACCAGGAUAAGCAAUCUUUCUUCAAAGUACAAUAUAAUCCUGUUCACAAGAAGGUACGAGUGCUUCUGCACAAUGGAAAACCAGUCUCUGAAUUUUUAGUCAUCCUUGAGUACAUAGAACACACAUUGAAACACAACUCUUUAUUACCUGCUGAUCCUGUAAACAGGGCCAUUGUGCGUUUCUGGCCAAAAUAUAUUGAUUAUGAGGACUAAUACUUGAUUGAUUACUAUUAUGGUUUAGUAUGCAGUAAGUUUCCUUCACCAUAUGAAUGGUUUCAGAAAUUUGCAGAAACCCCCAUACUCAAAGAAAAAUUGCCAGAGAAAGAUGACCUGAUCAAACACUUCCGAGCUAGCCCACAAAGAUUACAAUUCUGUUGAAUUUCAGAACCAGAUAGAGGCAAAAGCCUUAUAAUAAAGUUUCUAUUGAAUCCUUAGAGAAGUUUUCCUUUAAAAUAUUGUCAGCUGGCAGUGAAUUGUUGUCUUUUUCAAAAUUUUAUACUAUAGGAGAAUCUACAAGUGAAUUUGUUGCUUCAA